CCAGGCUUAAUGCUAAAAGCCUUGCAGAGAUACAAUAAAUAGGGGAAGAUUACACUCAAUGAUUGGACACAAAGUGCAAUUAUCAGACAAGAAGAACUGUAGCAAGGAAGCCUUGUGUAGCUGUGAUGUAAUCCAAUAUAUAUUUGCUGAUCCACACAAUAAGUUACACACUGUAGGUAUUUCUUAAUUUAGAACAAAAUUCACAUUAUGACUAAAUGAAUCCUAAAACAUAAGCCAGGAUCGAUCUGUGUCAGAAUGUUGGACAGGGAUCAGCCUGAUGGCUCUGAUGAGCAAUUCUAG